GCCUACAGCCAUACCACCCUGAACGCGCCCGAUCUCGUCUGAUCUCGGAAGCUAAGCAGGGUUGGACCUGGUUAGUACGUGGAUGGGAGACUGCCUGGGAUACCGGGUACUGUAGGCU
ensembl:rRNA 5S_rRNA 5S ribosomal RNA